rnacentral:tRNA from 1 species
GACUUCUUGGUGUAGUGGUCAGCACACUCGACGCGUAUUCGAGAGGUCCGUGGUUCGAGUCCCGGUGAGGGCA